rnacentral:misc_RNA from 1 species
CACUGUUAUUAACAUUGCAAACUAUUGAAAGUUUACAAAGACAAACAGUUUGGUGUAAAAGAGAUGAAAUUUGCAGCUAAACUAUAAGCACACCCAAAUCGCGCGUGCUUCAUUUUUCUUCAGAUCGUCAAUCGGCUCAGGAAAUGAUAGUUAGUGUACUCAAAUUACGCGUGCUUCAUUCUUCAGCUUGUCAAUCAGCUCAUCCACGGAUGAAAGGAUGACACCGGAUUUCCUUUUGGGAGGUUCGGUUACUUCAACUACUUCCAAAUCAGAUCUGAUCUCAACGUUCAAGUCUUGCAGUGUGAAUUUCUUUAUUGGCUUCGACUUUGCUUUCAUUAUGUUGGGGAGUGUUGCAUAUCGUGGCUGAUUCAGCCUCAGAUCAGUGGUGAUUACUGCAGGCAAAUCCAAACACAAUGUCUCAAUACCACCAUCAACUUCUCUGUCCACUGUAGCUACCUGCUUUUCUUUAUCGAGAACAACCUUAGAGGCAAAUGUCCCCUGCGGCCACUUGAGAAGUCCUGCAACCAUUUGACCUGUCUGGUUUUGAUCAUUGUCAAUUGCCUGUUUGCCAAGAAAAAGAAGACCAGGCUUUUCAACAUCAACAAGAGCUUUAAGAAUCUUAGCAAUUGUUAGUGGAUAAAUAUUCUCAGGCGCUUCUACAUGAAUUGCCCUGUCUGCUCCCAUAGCUAACCCAGUUCGUAAAGUCUCCGUAAACUGAACUGGUCCAAUACUAACAGCCACCACCUCUGAAGCCAAACCCGAUUCUCUCACCCGCAAAGCUUCUUCCAAAGCUAUUUCACAAAAUGGGUUCAUCGACAUCUUCACAUUUUUCGUCUCUACACCACUCUUGUCGGGUUUAACUCGGAUUUUGACGGCGUAAUCAACAACGCGUUUGAUGGCUACCAUGAUCUUCAUCGUUGAUCGGAAACUGAUCGGAAAAAAUGGAGACUAAUUUGAGCUACACACGGAAGUUGCCACUGUUUUAAAGCCAAUUUUGACACUUAAAAA